rnacentral:rRNA from 1 species
GAUGAACGCUGGCGGCGUGCCUAAUACAUGCAAGUCGAGCGAACAGACGAGGAGCUUGCUCCUCUGACGUUAGCGGCGGACGGGUGAGUAACACGUGGAUCAUCUCCCUAUAUGUCUGGGAUCACUUCGGGACUCCGGCGCUAGUACCGGAUAAUAUAUUGCACCGCAUGGUUCGAUAGUGAGAUUCGGCUUUGCUGUCACUACUAGCUGGAUCCGCGCCGCAUUAGCUAGUUGGUAAGGUAACGGCUUACCAAGGCAACGAUGCGUAGCCGACCGGACAGAGUGGUCGGCGACACGAGAACUGGGACACGGUCCAGACGCCUACGGGAGGCAGCAGUAGGGUAUCUGCCGCAAUGGGCGAGAGCAUGACGGAGCGAGGCCGCGUGAGUGAUGAAGGUGUUGGGAUCGUAAAACUCGGUUAUUAGGGAAGAACAAAUGUGUAAGUAACUAUGCACGUCUUGACGGUACCGAAUCAGAAAGCCACGGCUAACUACGUG